GACGAACGCUGGCGGCGUGCUUAACACAUGCAAGUCGAACGAAGUGGCGAACGGGUGAGUAACGCGUAAUCAACCUGCCCUUCAGUGGGGGACACCAGUUGAAAACGACUGCUAAUCCCGCAUACUGAAGGAGGGGAUUGCGUUGGAUUAGCUAGGUGGAGGGGUAACGGCCCACCAAGGCGAUGAUCAGUAGGCGGGUGUAGGUGGUUAACGGCCAAAGCGGGACUGAGACACGGGCCAGACCUCGACGGGGGGGAGCAGUGGGGAAUCUUCCGCAAUGGAGCAAAGUCUGACGGAGAAAAGGCGCGGGAGAGAUGACGGGCUUCGGGUUGGAAAGCUCUGUUCAUCGGGACGCGGUACCGGAAUAGAAAGCCACGGCUAACUCCGUGCCAGCAGCCGCGGUAAUAC
rnacentral:rRNA from 1 species